CAGGAAGUAGUUUAUUAAAAAUAUUAAUUUUGGAGAUUAAAGAUAGGAUUUUUUCCUUUUCCUGA
rnacentral:tRNA from 1 species